AUUGAACGCUGGCGGCAGGCCUAACACAUGCAAGUCGAGCGGAGCGGCGGACGGGUGAGUAAUGCCUAGGCAUCUGCCUGGUAGUGGGGGCUAACGUCAGGAAACGGGCGCUAAUACCGCAUACUAUCAGAUUAGCCUAGGUCGGACUAGCUAGUUGGUGGGGUAAAGGCAUACCAAGGCAACGAUCCGUAACUGGUCUGAGAGGAUGAGCAGUCACACUGGAACUGAGACACGGUCCAGACUCCUACGGGAGGCAGCAGUGGGGAAUAUUGGACAAUGGGCGAAAGCCUGAUCCAGCCAUGCCGCGUGUUUGAAGAAGGUCUUCGGAUUGUAAAGCACUUUAAGUUGGGAGGCGUUACCAACAGAAUAAGCACCGGCUAACUUCGUGCCAGCAGCCGCGGUAAUUC
rnacentral:rRNA from 1 species